rnacentral:lncRNA from 1 species
GUUGAUUCCUAGAGGUGGAAUCCAUUAAACUGACAAAGCUGCAGUCCUGGGGUCCUAAUAGUCGGGACUAUUAGGUCAUCCUGGGUACUCAGGCCUCUAGACUCUAGACUGAGCUGUCUUGGUCACUCAGGGACAGUUGGCAGAGUAUUCGUGGUCAGGGAGGUGAUCCAUGGUCAGCAGGAUCAGGCCACCCAGGGACAAAGGGUGCUUCUGUGCCAGGCCCUGGAGAAGGACAGACCGGUGGGGACUUGGGGUCGGCCGCAGAUAGGGGAGUCACCACCUGCUGGCAAUCAGCCAUGACUGUCUUUUCAUUGUCCGUGCUCUCAGCCUACCACCUCCUCCCCCGCCAUUGCAAGUGGCUAACACUGGGGAUGAAGACCAAGACACCACGGCCUUUCUCCAAUACCUCUCAAAUCAGCACAGACAAGGACAAACGUCUCAAUCCACAACUGCUGAAGAUGGACCCUGGCCACAUGGAAUGGUCAGACACGCCUGCCCAGCUAUCUGCAGGCGAAGAGGCUCAGAAGAGGUUUGGGGGCCUGAAGGACAUCUUGCUCCCAUGUCCAUAUGGGCAGGCGAUUUCUGCUCCAUGAGUCAAUUUUGCCAUAUAAAAUACUUAAUUUCAGCCAUUCCAGGGUGCUACAGGAUGCACAGCUUCCCAUCAGCCCACCUGAACUCCAGCCAUGCCAUUUUGAUACCAGGAAUAAGGUCACCUGCUUUCCUGCCCCUUAGGGGGCCAGAGCCAUGGAAACAAAAUGGCACUUCUGUUUACCUGUUAUAUUAUUUGUUUGUCAUCCUUACAUGUUUGGAAAAUGCAAUUAUAUGAAAAAAGUUUAGUAAUUACAGACAUAACAGCAGAAAGACCUCGGAACCAAGCUUAUUCUCAUGGCCGAUUCUGCUCCACCUGGGACUCUGCUGCGCUGCGGGCAUCCUAUGGUCAGAAUCACAGAGGGACCAUCAGGGAGGGCCUUCCCAGAGGAUGGACCUCACGUGACUGCUGCCUGAGCAAGUGGCACUGGCCACUCUGCCUGGAGACAGGAGUAAAUACAGGGCUGGCCAGGAGACCUGCACACUCUGCUACCGGCCUUGUCCAUCUUUAGCUUCUAAUCUGAAAAUGAGGAACACACAGACCAAGAGUACCAAAGGAUGGUUAGCAGGGACUACAGAAAAGCCCUGGGCCUUUCACUCUCUCCUUUUGCAAAUUCCCAUGUGUGGAAAUGCCGUUGGGAUAAUGAGGGAGCCUGAAGGAGCUGGACACAUGAGCAGCCCCGACAGGGCUGGCUCCAUCCUCUGAAAAUGGGGACCCGUGCCUGGCGUGUGGCCUUACUGGUUCAGUCUUCUGUGCAAAGGGAGGCUGUGAGCACCCAGAUGCCCGGUGCCUCCUGCCUGGAACAGGACAGGAUCUGGCUGACCCCUGGAAGAAUCACAUGCACACUUGACUAUUCAGGGAGUUCUCGCCCAGCAGAGCUCGCCUCUGUGGCUACCUUGGUCUUGCUGCUGAUAUCUGCCAGAAAAGGCCUGGACUUGGAGAGAAGCCUGGGAUUUACACUCAGUCCUUCCCCAUCUGGCUGGUUCCAUUUCCUUGGCUCUCUCUGCUGGAAGUCUGUGCUCCUGAACAUCGAGUCAGAGGGGGCAUCUGAAUGCAGGGUAUGGGGCAUCUGAGUGCAGGGCAGGGAGCCUCAGAUGGGAAGAAGUCAGAGGAACCAGAAUGUGUCAGAAAAUGUGGAGUGAUGUGCCUGAGCUCAAAAGUCAGCUGGGCCACAGGCUGGCUGUGUGAUCUUGGGCAAGUUCAACCAGCUUCUUUAUACCUCUUUUCUUGCCUCAAAAUGAUAAGAGAAACCACUUCACUAAUACACUGA